AGUUUAAAAUUAAUAUUUAAUUAGUAAAAAAAAUAUUUUUAUAAUAAGUAUAUUAAAGAAUAUAAAAUUUUGUAUUAUAGUUAAAGUAUUGUGAAAGGUUAUUGAAAUAAGAUGAAAUUUAUAUUAGGUUAAAGAAAAAUUUAAUUUUUGUACCUUGGGUAUCAGGGUUUAUUAAAAUAAUUUAAAAAUUUAGGGUUCUCGAAUUAAGAAGAGUUAAUAUUUUAUAGAUUUAAUUGUAGAAAAAAUUUUUAUAAUAUAGUAUUAGGAAUGAAAUGUUAGUCGUUUUUUAAGAUAUCUAGUUUUUUAAGAAAUAAAUUUAAUUUUGUUUAUAUGUUUUAUUAGUUGAUUUUUUAAUAAGGUAAAUAUAUAAAAUAAUAUUUUAAGGGAUAAGCUUUAAAAUAAAUUAUUAUAAUUAAAAUUUUAAGUAUUAAAUAAGUGUAGGAUUGGAAUUUUUUAUCUAUAGUAUGUUAUAAUUAAUUUUUAUUAUUAGUAAGAUUUAUAUUUAAUUUAAAUUAUUUAUUAAAUUAGUGUAUGUAUUUGGGUAUUAUAUGAAAUAAUGAUAGAAUUAGUAUAUUUUAAUGUUAAGUUAAUUUACAAGGUAAAGGUUAAUUUAAGGAACUCGGCAAAUUAUUUUCCGCCUGUUUAUUAAAAACAUGUCUUUUUGAUUAUAAUUUAAAGUCUGACCUGCCCAAUGAGGAGUUAAAUGGCCGCGGUAUUUUGACCGUGCAAAGGUAGCAUAAUCAUUAGUUUUUUAAUUGAAAGCUGGAAUGAACGGUUGGACGAGAAAAUUACUGUCUCAAUUUAAUUUAAAUUAGAAUUUUAUUUUUAAGUAAGAAAGCUUAAAUAAUUUUAAAAGACGAGAAGACCCUAUAGAGUUUUAUAUUUUUAUAAAUAUAAGAUAUAAAGAAAUAUUAAUAAUUUAUAUUUAUAAAAAUAUUUUAUUGGGGCGAUAGAAAAAUUAAAUUAACUUUUUUUUAUUUAGACCAUUGAUUUAUGAGUAGUUGAUCCAUAAUUUAUGAUUAUAAGAUAAAAUUACCUUAGGGAUAACAGCGUUAUUUUUUUUGAGAGUUCAUAUCGAAAAAAGAGUUUGCGACCUCGAUGUUGGAUUAAAAUAAACUUUUGGUGGAGAAGCUAGAAAGUUAGGUCUGUUCGACCUUUAAAAUUUUACAUGAUCUGAGUUUAGACCGGCGUGAGCCAGGUUGGUUUCUAUCUUUAAAUAUAUAAAAUAUUUUAGUACGAAAGGACCAAAUAUUUAUAAUAUUUAUUUGUAAUAUGAUUAUUAUU
rnacentral:rRNA from 1 species